GGACAAGGUAUAUUACUGUCUACAUGCUCCCUGUUGUGUUUCCCUUGAUCUCUGUCAUUGUUUACAUAGCAGUGCUGACACAGGUUCCUUCUU
rnacentral:misc_RNA from 1 species